rnacentral:lncRNA from 1 species
CCAAAACUAAGCAAGUAAGGUAAGUAAGGCAGGUAAGAAUAAUAUGAACAAAUAAAUCACUGAAAUGGAAGCUCACUAUAGCAUGAUGUCACUACUUUCAUCAGUAAUAAUCUACCACAUGAUCUCUACUUAGCAUGGAUUUGCAUAAGUAAUAAACUACCACAUGAUCUCUACUUAGCAUGAAUUUGCAUAAGUAAUAAACUAUCAUGGCAUAAUU